rnacentral:sRNA from 1 species
UAAAAAUAUUUUGUAAGUAUCACCUAUGAACAUGCUCUUAGAUCAGAUAUCCGUUUAAAGAUUUUUUUAAAAAAUGUUGAC